rnacentral:lncRNA from 1 species
UUCCAGACAUUUAGUAGUAACUCAUUUUGUUAGAGCAGUGUCCAUUGUGUCUGUUGCUAUGUAAGAGAAACCAUUAGAAAAAUCCAUUUCUUAAGAUUUCUUUGAUCCAAGAACAUUAAUUAUUUAACAAAUAUUUUAAUACAUGGAAGCUUGGAUUUAUUCAUUUGCCUAGCCUGAGAAAUAAUAAUUUUUAUUGGAUGUAUUCACUGCAUAAUAUAUUAGAGAUUUUUUUCACAUUAAAAAUGUUUCAUAACUUAGAAUUGACUUUGACCCCAAUUUAACCUAAUUAAUUUAAUAUAAUUGCCUCAGAUGAGAGUGAAGUUAUUUGCUUUCUGGAACACCAGUAGGAAAUGAUAGAACUGAGUCUAAGAACACAGACUGAGCAUGACAUCACAGGGUAAGGUGAGCCAGAGGGCUGGGUGACACGAUGUUUCCUCGUCCUCUGGUAUCCCACUGGUUGGGAGGAGCGGGGAGGACAGGGAAGCCAGGGGACAGCAGAGACCACAGAAGCAUUCUCCCUGUUGCUGCUCCAGUGACUGGCACAAGACGCUGAAAUCCAAGGUCAGGGGCAGCCUUCUGGGUGUUUCCCAGAGGAAAAGACCAGAAAUCACUCAAUCUGGAAGCUGAAGACGGCAUUCAAUUUUUGUCACAGGCCAUGGAUCCCAGUCAGGAAGAGGAAUGGAGAUGGCAACUAGGAAUGAAUGGUCAGAGGCAAAUGGACUAGAGACAGUCUCUUCCUGUGUCUACUUCAAAAAUCACGUUGUUUUCACUCAAAAAUGCCCCUAAAGCAGCCCAAACUGCCCACUUCUUUGUGACAGGUGUAUGUGGAUGUGUGUGGGUAUGUGUGUCUGUAGGGCAGGAGUAAUAGUAGCUUAAUAAAAGCAGACAGUUACAAAAAGGCAGGGUAAAAAUUCAUUUCCUUUAGAGAAAAGAUAUUUUCCUUUAAGUAUUAAAUAUGUAUUUUC